AUUAGCUGUCAUUAAUAAGGAACAUCUAAAAACAGGACAGGAGCCACUAAUUCGAGAAAGUAUUAUUGACAUACGUGUGGAUAAUACUUGGCAACGACAGAUUGAAAACGAUCUCCAGGAGGCAGCCAACGUUGCUCUACCCGAUGAUGAUGAAGAUCUAUAAGCUCCAUCUUUUCUCACUAAAGCUAACAGCAACAUCUUCGUCGUCGAUAAUUUGUUCGUAUGAACUUUGUUUAUGCAAUUUAA